UUCACCAGUGAUUAGCUGAAUACCACUGCAGUCUGAUUACUGUGACAAAAAGGUAUUCUUUUUGAGUUGUA
ensembl:snoRNA SNORD31 Small nucleolar RNA SNORD31